rnacentral:rRNA from 1 species
UACGUAGGGCGCAAGCGUUGUCCGGAAUUAUUGGGCGUAAAGAGCUCGUAGGCGGUUUGUCGCGUCGGCUGUGAAAACCCGGGGCUCAACCCCGGGCCUGCAGUCGAUACGGGCAAACUAGAGUGUGGUAGGGGAGACUGGAAUUCCUGGUGUAGCGGUGAAAUGCGCAGAUAUCAGGAGGAACACCGGUGGCGAAGGCGGGUCUCUGGGCCAUAACUGACGCUGAGGAGCGAAAGCGUGGGGAGCGAACAGG